GUGCUUCAGGAGUGUGCUUGAUCUGCUUCUGUCUGUGGAGCUGUUUAGAAUGCGCAGAGCUCUUCUGAGGGUACACAAAGGGGUGGGGCUUGCAUGCUGCAGCGGCCAUGCUGGUUUUCGAAUGUCAACAAACAAAGUGACA